AUUGAACGCUGGCGGCAGGCCUAACACAUGCAAGUCGAACGAGUGGCGGACGGGUGAGUAAUGUCUGGGAAACUGCCUGAUGGAGGGGGAUAACUAAUGGAAACGGUAGCUAAUACCGCAUACCAUCAGAUGUGCCCAGAUGGGAUUAGCUUGUUGGUGGGGUAACGGCUCAACAAGGCGACGAUCCCUAGCUGGUCUGAGAGGAUGACCAGCCACACUGGAACGUAGCAACGGUCAAGACUCCGACGGGAGGCAUCAGUGGGUAUUAUUGCACAAUGGGCGCAAGCCGGAUGCAGCCAUGCCGCUUGUAUGAAGAAGGCCUUCGUGUUGUAAAGUACUUUCAGCGGGGAGGCGUUACCCGCAGAAGAAGCACCGGCUAACUCCGUGCCAGCAGCCGCGGUAAUUC
rnacentral:rRNA from 1 species